UGGACAAGUAACAGAAGGAGCAUUUGUUUGGCCACAAGCAGCCGGUGGAAAAUUCCAGUGCUGACCCCAGAGUGAACCCUUGAGGGACAAGUUUCCAGAUGAAAAGAGUGACAGGAUGAGUCAUCCAUGAUUUUCGACUAGGACAGUGACCAGAGCAUGUUUUUUCUUCCGAAGAACUUUUUAGAAGGACUGGAGAGGGGAUCCAGAAAGCAGAAAGAGUAGCUGGGAAGUUGCUGGAAUUGUCCAGGAGCAAAGAUUGCAGUCCAGCUGCAACCAGACACUCAUGCCUUCCCCCCUGGGCUGGCUGCUUUUGACCUGCCCAGUCAUGCCUCUGGGCACUUCGGAAGGAGGGAAGGAGGGAGUAGUCCCAGGUACCCUCUAACGGAGAUGAGAUGAGCACGAAGGCAAGUCACAGACUCCACAUGCAGGACCCGCUUCCCAGAGCACCUGAGUCCCCAGUGCUUUCAUCGCUAUGGUCCAAACCCCACCUCACUCCUCCCAAGGCUUUGCUCUCCCAUCUUCUCAAGGCCUCCUGUCCUUUUGUGCUGAGCAUGAAGGCUCCAAGGUCAAAACAGGAUAAGUCAUGGGGACUGGCAGACUCGACUUUGCCUUCUUGAGCUUUGAAGCCCACUAACCCUAUAGCUAUCAUGGGUGGAGGGAGCCACGCUUCGCUUUUUUUUUUUUCUUUUUUUUUCUUUUUUUUUUUUUUUAAUA